GCGGCGGGAGCGGUGCUGCGGCGCUGCCUCAGAGGGACUGGACCGGGACUGGGACCGGCCUCAGCCUCUCCCGGCGCGGCCAGCGAGAAUCCCUGCGUCCCUCAUGCGCACCAAACCGGUGCUGGUGGAGGCGGCUCCACAGCUGCGCCUUCCCCCGCCAUGUUCUGGCGAGGCUCCCUCGGGGCCGGUGCCGCUCUCCGCCGGCGCUGAGCGGCUGCGGCGGGAGGAACCGAGCGAGCCUGGCAGUGGACAAAAAAUGAAGUGACCAGGAUGGUAUGAGUUCAGAAAUGCAGGGUGAUCCUUCAGGAGGGGGCUGCCCAAGCAAGCUUCAGCCACCUUGCUGACUAGGCAGACCAGAGGAGCCCAGCCCAGGUGAGCUGCACUGCUGGGAGGUGCCAGCCCUGCCCAGAUUAUGCCUUGAGCUGCAGAAUGUCUGACAAACUGAGAACUGCUUGGCAGCAUCCACGUCUGAUGGCUUGGAGAUUCCUGAAACUUGAUCAUCUGUGUUUUCUCUGCAUGGUUAAGAAGAAUUUAAAUAAAAAAAAAAAACUAAAUAAAGAUGCCACCUACAAGACUGAAA